rfam:Drosophila ananassae strain TSC#14024-0371.13 Ctg01_16969, whole genome shotgun sequence.
ACUUAGCCAAUGCACGGGUUCCAGAUUAAGCUUGCUGCCGAAGCAUACCAUCAAAAUCGGCAUAAAAUUCGCUAAAUAAAGGAGGUGGUUUUAGUACGUACGCGUCCCGGAACUUGUCUCGGGAUGAAUCGUGCAUGCGUAUAAUUGGGAUCGAUAACAAAUACCAACAAAGUUAUUACUAAUAUAUCGAAAUAAUGAAUAUCCCGUCCUUACGUAUCUUUGAAGAUUUCCAUCCUCAGCGAAC